UGGGGAAUAUUGCACAAUGGGCGGAAGCCUGAUGCAGCGACGCCGCGUGAGGGAUGACGGCCUUCGGGUUGUAAACCUCUUUCAGUAGGGACGAAGCGUAAGUGACGGUACCUGCAGAAGAAGCACCGGCUAACUACGUGCCAGCAGCCGCGGUAAUACGUAGGGUGCGAGCGUUGUCCGGAAUUACUGGGCGUAAAGAGCUCGUAGGCGGUUUGUCACGUCGUCUGUGAAAUCCUAGGGCUUAACCCUGGACGUGCAGGCGAUACGGGCUGACUUGAGUGCUACAGGGGAGACUGGAAUUUCUGGUGUAGCGGUGGAAUGCACAGAUAUCAGGAAGAACACCGAUGGCGAAGGCAGGUCUCUGGGUAGUAACUGACGCUGAGGAGCGAAAGCAUGGGUAGCGAACAGG
rnacentral:rRNA from 1 species